rnacentral:rRNA from 1 species
CCUACGGGUGGCAGCAGUGAGGAAUAUUGGUCAAUGGGCGGAAGCCUGAACCAGCCAAGUCGCGUGAGGGAUUAAGGCCCUAUGGGUCGUAAACCUCUUUUGUCAGGGAGCAAGGUCGUCCACGUGUGGGCGUAUGGAGAGUACCUGAAGAAAAAGCAUCGGCUAACUCCGUGCCAGCAGCCGCGGUAAUACGGAGGAUGCGAGCGUUAUCCGGAUUUAUUGGGUGUAAAGGGAGCGUAGGCGGGAUGGCAAGUUGGGUGUUAAAUCUACCGGCUCAACUGGUAGUCGCACUCAAAACUGCUAUUCUUGAGUGAAGUAGAGGCAGGCGGAAUUCCUAGUGUAGCGGUGAAAUGCGUAGAUAUUAGGAGGAACACCAGUGGCGAAGGCGGCCUGCUGGGCUUUUACUGACGCUGAGGCUCGAAAGUGUGGGGAGCAAACAGGAUUAGAUACCCCUGUAGUC